UCUCCUGCUGCCGAGGCACAGAGAGGCUUCUGUUCCCCAGCGCUGACAUCAGCGCCGGCCGGGACGUGAGCCACGCUGCAGCCAGGCUGGGGGAGCUGCUCCCCCUCCCCACGCCCUCUGGUGAAGGUGAAGCCCCUCUGGGUGGCUCUGAGCCCCCCUGCCCCUCACAUGUGUCAGGGAGGAAGAGUUUAAGAUGAAAGGCUCUGGAGAAAGAUUGAAAUGGUUGAAGGAGGAAAGUCUAGAGGAAAGAAAUCCAUGAACAUUGCAGUGACAAAGUGAUGGGGCGGUGAUGGAUCUUACAGAUAGCUGCUGCAGGAAGAAAAACAUCUAGCAAAGAGAAAUACUCUGAUGUCUUCAACUCCCCUAAAGCACAAAAGCAUUUAGGCAGCCAAAACUUGCAGGUGAGAACCUGUGGGUCUGAACUUAGGGGAGGAGGAGCAGCUGGCCAAGCAAGGCAUUGGCAGCUGGCCCUGGGAAGGGGGGUAGCACCACUGCGAGCUAAAGCUGGAUGCUCACAGCUAGUUUAGGAUCCAGCUGUAAUUUUAACAGCUGGUUCUGUCAAGCUGCCUUCAGCAUAGCUCUGAUCCAAGCUUCUAUAAUUAGCCAAGGAGCAGCAGCUCUCGUGCAAGGAGAAAGGCAGGAGCGAUGCUCAAUGCAGGGGAAGCAGAGCAGCGUGGGUGGGAGCCUUGCUGAGAGGGGUAAGGGCUGU